UACGUAGGGUCCGAGCGUUGUCCGGAGUUACUGGGCGUAAAGCGCGCGUAGGCGGCCGUUCAAGUCUGGCGUGAAAGCCCCCGGCUCAACCGGGGGAGGGUCGUCGGAGACUGGGCGGCUUGAGGGCGGCAGGGGCUGGUGGAAUUCCCGGUGUAGUGGUGAAAUGCGUAGAGAUCGGGAGGAACACCCGUGGCGAAGGCGGCCAGCUGGGCCGGUCCUGACGCUGAGGCGCGAAGGCGUGGGGAGCGAACGGG
rnacentral:rRNA from 1 species